GUCCACGCCCUAAACGAUGCUAACUGGACGUUGGGUGCAAUUGAGCAUUCAGUGUCGAAGCUAACGCGUUAAGUUCGCCGCCUGGGGAGUACGGUCGCAAGACUGAAACUCAAAGGAAUUGACGGGUGCCCCGCACAAGCGGUGGAGUAUGUGGUUUAAUUCGAUGCAACGCGAAGAACCUUACCUGGCCUUGACAUCCACGGAAGUCUGCAGAGAUGCGGAUGUGCCUUCGGGAACCGUGAGACAGGUGCUGCAUGGCUGUCGU
rnacentral:rRNA from 1 species